CGCCAUUUCUAUUUUAUAUGUGUU
rnacentral:siRNA from 1 species